AUGUAUUUGGACUUGAAGGAAAGUUUCUGGUGGACAGGUAUGAAGAAGGAUAUUGCCGAGUAUGUCGCAGUAUGUGACGUAUGUCAGAGGGUUAAGGCAGAGCACCAGAAACCAGCAGGAUUACUUCAGCCUUUGCCGAUACCAGAUUGGAAGUGGGACAAGCUUGGCAUGGACUUCAUUACAGGAUUACCCAGGACCCGAUCAGGCUAUGAUUCUAUUUGGGUAGUGGUUGAUCGCUUGACCAAUGUAGCUCACUUCAUCCCCGUGAAAACCACAUAUACAAGUGCUAAGUUAGCCAAAAUAUACAUGACCAGGAUCUAUGUCUGCAUGGAGUUCCGAGGACCAUCGUAUCAGAUAGAGGAACACAAUUUACCUCAAAGUUUUGGCAUCAAUUACACGAAACUUUGGGUACCAGGCUAG
rnacentral:rRNA from 1 species